rnacentral:rRNA from 1 species
UACGGGGGGAGCAAGCGUUGUUCGGAUUUACUGGGCGUAAAGGGCGCGUAGGCGGCCACCGCAAGUCGACUGUGAAAUCUCCGGGCUUAACCCGGAAAGGUCAGCCGAUACUGCGGGGCUAGAGUGCAGAAGGGGCGACUGGAAUUCUCGGUGUAGCGGUGAAAUGCGUAGAUAUCGAGAGGAACACCUGCGGCGAAGGCGGGUUGCUGGGCUGACACUGACGCUGAUGCGCGAAAGCUAGGGGAGCGAACGGG